GACAGAGGGUGCAAGCGUUGUUCGGAAUUAUUGGGCGUAAAGGGCGCGUAGGCGGCCUCGCAAGUUAGAUGUGAAAUCCCAGGGCUCAACCCUGGAAGUGCAUCUAAAACUGCUUGGCUUGAGUCCCGGAGAGGGUGGUGGAAUUCCCAGUGUAGAGGUGAAAUUCGUAGAUAUUGGGAGGAACACCGGUGGCGAAGGCGACCACCUGGACGGAGACUGACGCUGAGGCGCGAAAGCGUGGGGAGCAAACAGG
rnacentral:rRNA from 1 species